rnacentral:misc_RNA from 1 species
GCAUUCUCUGGAUCUGCCGCAGUUACAAUCUGAUAGUGAUAUACAUUUUAUGAAAAACUCUUAACUCUUUCCUCCUGAAAUCUCUAAUGACUUUUAAUUUGUAGCUGAAUGGUAAUUAUCAGUAUAGUUGAAUCCAUGCAGGUUUAUGGGGAUCAAAUAUAUAAUGUGAUAAGCAAACUGCUUCAUGAGAAUUAUUCUAGUUGAGGUCAUGAUUUUGGGAUUGAAGUAAUUGGAAAUUUGCUUCUUCUUUUCUUUUUU